AUUGAACGCUGGCGGCUUGCCUUACACAUGCAAGUCGAACGGUAACGGGCCUUCGGGUGCCGACGAGUGGCGAACGGGUGAGUAAUGUAUCGGAACGUACCUUUCAGUGGGGGAUAACGUAGCGAAAGUUGCGCUAAUACCGCAUAUUCUGUGCGCAGGAAAGCAGGGGACCUUCGGGCCUUGCGCUGAUUGAGCGGCCGAUAUCAGAUUAGCUAGUUGGUGAGGUAAAGGCUCACCAAGGCGACGAUCUGUAGCGGGUCUGAGAGGAUGAUCCGCCACACUGGAACCGAGAAACGGUCCAGACUCCUACGGGAGGCAGCAGUGGGGAAUUUUGGACAAUGGGGGCAACCCUGAUCCAGCCAUGCCGCGUGAGUGAAGAAGGCCUUCGGGUUGUAAAGCUCUUUCGGCCGGGAAGAAAUCGUAUCAGCUAAUACCUGGUGCGGAUGACGGUACCGGCAUAAGAAGCACCGGCUAACUACGUGCCAGCCGCCGCAGUAACAC
rnacentral:rRNA from 1 species